rnacentral:rRNA from 1 species
AACGAACGCUGGCGGCAGGCCUAACACAUGCCAGUCGAGCGAGGACUUCGGUUCUAGCGGCGGACGGGUGAGUCACGCGUGGGAAUGUGCCCUUCUCUACGGAAUAGCCCUGGGAAACUGGGAGUAAUACCGUAUACGCCCUAUUGGGGAAAGAUUUAUCGGAGAAGGAUCAGCCCGCGUUGGAUUAGGUAGUUGGUGGGGUAAUGGCCUACCAAGCCGACGAUCAAUAGCUGGUUUGAGAGGAUGAUCAGCCACACUGGGACUGAGACACGGCCCAGACUCCUACGGGAGGCAGGAGUGGGGAAUCUUAGACAAUGGGGGCAACCCUGAUCUAGCCAUGCCGCGUGAGUGAUGAAGGCCUUAGGGUUGUAAAGCUCCUUCAGCUGGGAUGAUAAUGACGGUACCAGAAGAAGAAGCCCCGGCUAACUCCGUG